AUACGUAGGGUGCAAGCGUUAAUCGGAAUUACUGGGCGUAAAGCGUGCGCAGGCGGUUUUGUAAGACAGUGGUGAAAUCCCCGGGCUCAACCUGGGAACUGCCAUUGUGACUGCAAGGCUGGAGUGCGGCAGAGGGGGAUGGAAUUCCGCGUGUAGCAGUGAAAUGCGUAGAUAUGCGGAGGAACACCGAUGGCGAAGGCAGUCCCCUGGGCCUGCACUGACGCUCAUGCACGAAAGCGUGGGGAGCAAACAGGAUUAGAUACCCUGGUAGUCCACGCCCUAAACGAUGUCAACUGGUUGUUGGGGAUUUAUUUUCUCAGUAACGAAGCUAACGCGUGAAGUUGACCGCCUGGGGAGUACGGCCGCAAGGUUAAAACUCAAAUGAAUUGGCGGGG
rnacentral:rRNA from 1 species